rnacentral:rRNA from 1 species
ACGAACGCUGGCGGCGUGCCUAAUACAUGCAAGUAGAACGCUGAAGGCGGAGCUUGCUUCUCUGGAUGAGUUGCGAACGGGUGAGUAACGCGUAGGUAACCUGCCUGGUAGCGGGGGAUAACUAUUGGAAACGAUAGCUAAUACCGCAUAAUAGUAGAUGUUGCAUGACAUUUGCUUAAAAGGUGCAAUUGCAUCACUACCAGAUGGACCUGCGUUGUAUUAGCUAGUUGGUGGGGUAACGGCUCACCAAGGCGACGAUACCUAGCCGACCUGGGAGGGUGAUCGGCCACCCUGGGACUGAGACACGGCCCAGACUCAUACGGGAGGCAGCAGUAGGGAAUCUUCGGCAAGGGACGGAAGUCUGACCGAGCAACGCCGCGGGAGGGAAGAAGGUUGUCGGAUCGUAAAGCUCUGUUGUAAGAGAAGAACGAGUGUGAGAGUGGAAAGUUCACAGUGUGACGGUAUCUUACCAGAAAGGGACGGCUAACUACGUG